AAAGCAAUGGGAAAACUCCCUUCCCCAUUCAGCUUCAUCCACGGCGAUGGGAACCACAGUGGGAGCAGCUUUAAUUAAAGCCAGUGGAGGAGUGUGGUGGGUGAAAGGAGUGCCGCUGACACACGUCUGGCUUUAUUUCCCUCUCACACGCUGAGUCAGCGGGGGCCGCUCCCUCUGGCAGGAGGUUCCCUCUGGGCUGUCUCGCUCUAGGGGCUGCGUAGCGGACCACCAGUCUGCCCAGGUGAUCCUGAAGCAGGCCACAGUGGUGGAAGAAGUAUUCAGAUCCUUUAUAUGCGUGUGACUGGGGCCCUGCAUGUGCCGAGAACGCUGACACAAGAGAAGACUGCCAAAUUUGAAAAAAAGUAGUUCAGCGCGGAGCUUUAGGAAAAGCUCUCUCAGCGUUUUUCCACUAAGCCUCUCUGAAAAACCUCUCUGGCUCCUGCACCUACGGAGCUGUUGUAUAACCUUUCACACUCGCCGGAACGCACAAACACACACGCACACGCACACAAACACAAACACAAACACACACACACACACUCUGUUCAACCAUGUGGUGAGGAAGCCUUUGGGGGGGGGGAAUUGGAACAAGGGAAAGCCUAUUUUUGAAAGUCAUCCACCAUGGGACUCAAUUAGCACUUCAUCUACAGACCGGAGCACGGGGUCGCUGCGUGCUCCCUCCCUUCCUGUGUUUCCUGAGCACAAAGCUAAAGUGAGUUGACUCUCCACAGCGGCGGUCAAGGCCAGCAGUGGAAGAAGUAUUUCAGAUCCUUAACUUAAAAGUACGAAUACCACACUGUAAAAACAUAUGUAUAUAUACUCUGUUACAAGUGAAAGUCCUGCAUUGAAAAUGUGACUUAAGUAAAAGUGUGUCUAUAUCAGGAAAAUGUACUUAAAGUAAUUAAAGGUAACAAUGCCGAAACAUCCUCACAUUUUAGAAACUGGAAAUGAUCCAAACAGUUCUGUGAAUCAUGUCUUUUAUAAUUUAAUCGGCUAGGCCUGUUUAUUGUUGGGUAGUUUAAUUUAUAAUAAAAUGUAUCGUAUUUAAAAACUCAA